AUCAACAACUGACUGAAUAACAGCACAAGUGCCGCUGAAUAAUUUUCAAGAAGCUUUAAUUCAAUUUUCUUAGUAAAAUAUAAUUAAAAUGUUCGAACUGAGCAAAAUACUUUUUGUAACGCUUUUGCUUUUUAUCCUUCUACUCGCUUUGACCAGCGCGCGGUAUGCAGGCGGCGAGCACGAGUACAGGAGAGUGGGAUCUAUAUUCCAACCGGAACCAGACCCGACCAUAUUUCGUCCCACUAUUGAGAGUGCACAAGUCAGUGGCGCACCAGCCAUGGAGCUCGAUAACGGUAUGGACUAUAUGGAAUGAUUAUAUAAUAUCGCUGAUGGAUGGCGGUCAAUGACCCUACUUUGCACGGCGGAAAGUAUUUAGCGCAAGCUGUUUGCCGUUAUAAUUUCACGAAUGCCCCUAUGUGAAGAGAUUACGUCGUAAUGGUACAAAUAUUAUUAAGACAAAGUGUAGUUAAUGUUCACCUAAAUGCCAGAAUUUCAUAAGCACUCUUCUAUGCUUGUAUGUAUGUAUUUAUGCGCUUAUUUAAUAUAGUUCGGCGAUUACUCAGCUGUUUUAGCGAGCCUUGCGUUGA